GACGAACGCUGGCGGCGUGCUUAACACAUGCCAGUCGAACGAAGAGCGAUGGAAGCUUGCUUCUAUCAAUCUUAGUGGCGAACGGGUGAGUAACGCGUAAUCAACCUGCCCUUCAGAGGGGGACAACAGUUGGAAACGACUGCUAAUACCGCAUACGAUCUAAUCUCGGCAUCGAGGAUAGAUGAAAGGUGGCCUCUACAUGUAAGCUAUCACUGAAGGAGGGGAUUGCGUCUGAUUAGCUAGUUGGAGGGGUAACGGCCCACCAAGGCGAUGAUCAGUAGCCGGUCUGAGAGGAUGAACGGCCACAUUGGGACUGAGACACGGCCCAGACUCCUACGGGAGGCAGCAGUGGGGAAUCUCCCGCAAUGGACGAAAGUCUGACGGAGCAACGCCGCGUGAGUGAUGACGGCCUUCGGGUUGUAAAGCUCUGUUAAUCGGGACGAAAGGCCUUCUUGCGAAUAGUGAGAAGGAUUGACGGUACCGGAAUAGAAAGCCACGGCUAACUACGUG
rnacentral:rRNA from 1 species